ACUGUUGUUAAACGUAAACUGAAGCUGUCAACCCAAGAGAAAGCUUUCAUGGAGAGUCGAAUUCGAAGGGAUGAUAACAUGCAAAUGGAGGACGAUGAAUCCAUUCCAGAUAUUAACAACAGUGAUACCAAUACUCUUGAUCAUGCAAUGAACAACAAAUCAUUGGAGCAAUCAAACUCAUCUCCACAACUGUCACCACGAAGGAAACAAAGUGAAACAGUGGUUGACCAGUCUGAAAUGAAUCCAAUCACCAACAAGAAAUGUUGCAAAUCAAAGAAGUCUAAUGACAAAGAACAACAAAGUCAUUCAAAAUCCUACAAGAAAUUGAAGAACGAAAUAAAAGAAGUUCGUAAGGAUUUAUCCACACUGACUUCUAUAGUCUCUAGGAUGGAUGACAUAAUCAGAAAGCAGUCAUUAGAGCUAUCUGAAAUGAAGAAUAUGCUCGAGAGAUUGGUCAAGAAUCAAAAUCAAAAUCAAGGGAAUGAUCAUACUCAUCAAAAUUACAAUGAUGUCGAUCAGAAUAGAGAAGAUAUGAUCACUAGUGACCAACCAUAUGUUGAAGAACAACAUACUGAAGAACAACAUACUGAACAUUAAGAGGAAACCCAAAGGGAACAUCAAGAGGAAUUUGGUAGUGAUAUAAGCAUAUACGGCAGGGAUGCAGGCUUGCUACUGACUAUAAGAGAUAUAUCAAAUAAUCUAAAUGCUCAAAGUCAGAAAGAAAAAGACCUGCCAUAAAUGAUUACUACCCUUCCACUUGUGAGCCAACCUCUUCCACUUUGUGAAAUGGCUCCAUUGGAUCAAACUGUACAAAUUCAUGAAGUGCCACCAUCAAUUUCAAUUGUAAAUGAAGAAUCUCAACUGGAAACAAAUGAACAACAAAAACCAAUAAAGAGAAGAAAGCUAUGUGAAAUAGCAAAUAAAAAGGUGUCUGAUGAAGAUGAACAAGUUAAUCCACCCAUAACAUCUACUGAGAUGAUCAUAUCAGAACCUACAAUACCUGUCCCAGAUGUCGAACUCAGAGAUGUAGAUAGAUAUAAUCCCAUGUGGCAAGUGGAUGAAAAAUUAUGGAUGACAUACUUAGAAUGGAAAAGAUCAAGAAAAACAACUCAUGAAGAAAGGAAAGUAGUCUCCACAACCAGAAAAAAGAUUUUUUCAAACAGUUUGAAGAAAACACAUGGAUACUAGGAGAC